AACGCUAGAAACAUGGCUCUGAUAC
rnacentral:miRNA from 1 species